AAGCAGCUUGCUGCUUCGCUGACGAGUGGCGGACGGGUGAGUAAUGUCUGGGAAGCUGCCUGAUGGAGGGGGAUAACUACUGGAAACGGUAGCUAAUACCGCAUAAUGUCGCAAGACCAAAGAGGGGGACCUUCGGGCCUCUUGCCAUCGGAUGUGCCCAGAUGGGAUUAGCUUGUUGGUGGGGUAACGGCUCACCAAGGCGACGAUCCCUAGCUGGUCUGAGAGGAUGACCAGCCACACUGGAACUGAGACACGGUCCAGACUCCUACGGGAGGCAGCAGUGGGGAAUAUUGCACAAUGGGCGCAAGCCUGAUGCAGCCAUGCCGCGUGUAUGAAGAAGGCCUUCGGGUUGUAAAGUACUUUCAGCGGGGAGGAAGGGAGUAAAGUUAAUACCUUUGCUCAUUGACGUUACCCGCAGAAGAAGCACCGGCUAACUCCGUGCCAGCAGCCGCGGUAAUACGGAGGGUGCAAGCGUUAAUCGGAAUUACUGGGCGUAAAGCGCACGCAGGCGGUUUGUUAAGUCAGAUGUGAAAUCCCCGGGCUCAACCUGGGAACUGCAUCUGAUACUGGCAAGCUUGAGUCUCGUAGAGGGGGGUAGAAUUCCAGGUGUAGCGGUGAAAUGCGUAGAGAUCUGGAGGAAUACCGGUGGCGAAGGCGGCCCCCUGGACGAAGACUGACGCUCAGGUGCGAAAGCGUGGGGAGCAAACAGG
rnacentral:rRNA from 1 species